rnacentral:rRNA from 1 species
GAUGAACGCUGGCGGCGUGCCUAAUACAUGCAAGUCGAGCGAACGGACGAGAAGCUUGCUUCUCUGAUGUUAGCGGCGGACGGGUGAGUAACACGUGGAUAACCUACCUAUAAGACUGGGAUAACUUCGGGAAACCGGAGCUAAUACCGGAUGAUAUUUUGAACCGCAUGGUUCAAAAGUGAAAGACGGUCUUGCUGUCACUUAUAGAUGGAUCCGCGCUGCAUUAGCUAGUUGGUAAGGUAACGGCUUACCAAGGCAACGAUGCAUAGCCGACCUGAGAGGGUGAUCGGCCACACUGGAACUGAGACACGGUCCAGACUCCUACGGGAGGCAGCAGUAGGGAAUCUUCCGCAAUGGGCGAAAGCCUGACGGAGCAACGCCGCGUGAGUGAUGAAGGUCUUCGGAUCGGAAAACUCUGUUAUUAGGGAAGAACAUAUGUGUAAGUAACUGUGCACAGCUUGACGGUACCUAAUCAGAAAGCCACGGCUAACUACGUG